UCCGUAUUCGUUGCCUGGUUUUCAUUUGGGUAUUAGUUUCGACCCUCCCACACUAAAGAGUUCCGAUGUUUGCGAAAUUCGUCUGUCGACAUCUCCGGCUAAAAUAAUCGUUCUACAAUGAAAUACAAAUGAAUAUGACAUGUAACUAUGAAGAUUCAAGUCUCCGCCCUGUAACCCCAAACAUCCAGACUUCGCCACAUCAACAGGAACACUUUGUCAGACUCAGGAAAUCAACGAUACCCUUACAAAAUUCCACUGGAAAGUGGCUCCCCCUAGUGGUCCUGAUGGUAUCACAAAGCCUCUUCGGGAACUGGAAGCAUCAACAUUCUUCGCCUCAACAAGGGGAAUAACUCUGGACAGCAUCUACUUCAACAGAGGUCCCAGUGACCCUGUCCAUCCUAACAUGGUACGGGUUACCAUAACGAUUCCAUACCACGACGGACUACGUACCUCCUGUGCUGUCCACUCGUCAGCUCUCAAAC